UACGUAGGGGGCAAGCGUUGUCCGGAUUUAUUGGGCGUAAAGGGCGCGUAGGCGGCUACGCACGUCCGUUGUGAAAUCUCCCGGCUCAACUGGGAGGGUGCGCCGAAUACUGAAAGACUUCGAGUGCGGGAGAGGAAAGUGGAAUUCCUGGUGUAGCGGUGAAAUGCGUAGAUAUCAGGAGGAACACCGGUGGUGUAGACGGCUUUCUGGACCGUAACUGACGCUGAGACACGAAAGCGUGGGUAGCAAACAGG
rnacentral:rRNA from 1 species